rnacentral:rRNA from 1 species
UGCGCAGGCGGAAUAAUUAGUCAGUGGUGAAAUCUCCCGGCACAACCGGGAAACUGCCAUUGAUACUGUUAUUCUUGAGUAUAGUUGUAGUGGGCGGAAUAUAGCAUGUAGCGGUGAAAUGCUUAGAUAUGCUAUAGAACACCGAUCGCGAAGGCAGCUCACUAAACUAUAACUGACGCUCAGGCACGAAAGCGUGGGGAGCAAACAGGAUUAGAUACCCUGGUAGUCC